rnacentral:lncRNA from 1 species
AGAGCACUGUUGACAAUGUCUGCCUUCACUUGGAAUUCAGCACCUGCUUUCAGUAUAAACCCCUGCAUUUCACUAAAACUGAGCAGACUGCUGGUUUAAAAAAGAGAGGUCCAUCCAGCAGGGAUGAUGCUUUUCCUCGUUGAAAGAGGACAUUCACCUAAUGGGAGACCUGGAGUCAGAAUCUUUCUGAUGUGUGACUUGGCACAGUAACACAAUGCAGGAUGCUGGUGUGUUAAUAAAAAUAAAAAUUGCAUCGCCUACCUCAGAGUCGACAACAAUGUCAAGGAGUUAAUAGUCUUGGCAACACAGAGGCCACUGGACAGAGGCAUAACCUUGCGUGGCAGCUGCACGGGAAUUGGAUUUGGCUCAGGUGUUUCAGAUGACUAAGAACAAAGGGGACCACUCUUGGUAUAGAAGUUCAUCUCGUCGGGAGCAUCUGUGGUUCUUUUAUAAGCAAUGUACAUUCUACAAUAGAGGCAGACCCAGAAAUAAUUCAGAUAUUGGAGUUAGAAGAUCAGGAUUCUAAAAAAACCAAAAGAUCCUGCCUUACUAUGCACCUAUGGCCCUUCAAAGGCGAGAGUAGAAUCUGCUAUGAUUUAGAAGCAAGCAAUAAAAAGUACACAUCAGCCCCACGGACUGGCAUGAGACUCAGGCCUGGCCAACUGAAUGUCACACACCUAUGACCAUCAGUUGGCUCAGAGAUGGACUCAGGACACCAUCACAGCCAAUGAAACCCUGUUAGGGAAAUUUGUCAGAACCAUACAAAGAAAUAGCUCCACUUUUCCAUAGAGAUGAGACAUAAGCCUGGACUAACUGGUGUCCAAUUUGCCAUCAAGAGAGCAUCUGAGAAGACAGAGGAAAACUGGGGAAAGCGAAGUCUAAGGAAGGUGAGUAAGGACAAGUCCAGUUGAUAUUACAUGAAUCACCUGGACCUGGAAAUCAAGGCAUUGCUGGAUUCAAGGCCAAGAAAAAUUGGAAGCUGGCUUGAAUCAGGUUCUAUCACUUGCAGUUGAAAAGGUCCAGACUAAUAUGAUAACAAAGGAGCAAGUAAG